UGGGGGGGACGGCCCCCCCACUGGCGUUCCAGUCCCGGGACGACCAGG
rnacentral:ncRNA from 1 species